AUGAACAAUUAUGGCGUCAAGAUCAAGCAUAUCAGAAGUGAUAACGGCACUGAAUUCAAGAACACCGGGCUUGAUCUUUAUCUGGAUACAAUGGGAAUCACUCAUGAGUUUUCUGCUCCAUACACACCUCAGCAAAAUGGCAUUGUAGAGCGCAAGAACAGAACCCUCAUUGAGAUGGCUCAAACAAUGCUCGACGAGUACAAGACACCAAGAAAGUUCUGGCCUGAAGCUAUUGAUACAGCAUGUCACAUCAUCAACCGUGUCUACAUCCAUAAGCUUCUGAACAAAACAUCCUAUGAGCUCCUCACUGGAAAGAAGCCAAAUGUCAGCUACUUCAGAGUAUUUGGUGCAAGGUGCUGGAUCAAGGAUCCCCAUCACAAGUCAAAAUUUGCACCUAAAGCUCACGAAGGCUUCAUGCUCGGUUAUGGAAAGGACUCGCACUCUUACAGAGUCUUCAACCUCUAUCACUACAAAAUCGUUGAAACUAUGGACGUGCGAUUUGAUGAAACCAAUGGUUCACAACGAGAGCUCCUGCCAAGCACACUAUAUGAAGCUCCUCCCAACGAAUCUAUCAAGCUGAUGGGAACUGGUGAAAUCAUGCCUUCUGAAGCACAGCCUGAAGAGGAACUUAUCAUUUCUGCACCAAACCAACCUGAAGACAAUGCUCAGACCGAAGACAAUCCUCCCAAUGAUGACAAUGAUCAGCAUGAGCAAGGUCUUCGUCCAGUUCAUCCUCGUAUUGCAAAUGAAGUACAAAUUGAGAAGAUAAUUGAUAGCAUCAAUGCACCUGGUCCACUUACUCGCUCAAGAGCAACACAAUUAGCAAAUUUCUGUGGGCAUUUUUCAUUUGUGUCAAUAUCAGAACCCAAGAAAGUUGUUGAAGCCUUUAUGGAACCUGAAUGGAUUCAAGCCAUGCAAGAAGAACUUCAACAGUUCAAGCUGAAUAAUGUUUGGGAACUUGUCAAGCGCCCUAACCCUUGCAAGCAUAACAUUAUUGGCACUAAAUGGAUAUAUCAGAACAAGCAAGAUGAGAAUGCUCAAGUCGUUAGAAACAAAGCACGUCUUGUAGCUCAAGGAUAUACUCAAGUUGAAGGAAUUGACUUCGAUGAAACAUUUGCUCCUGUGGCUAGGCUUGAAGCUAUUCGCAUACUGCUAGCCUAUGCUAAUCACCAUAACAUCUUGCUAUAUCAAAUGCAUGUGAAGAGUGCAUUCCUCAAUAGCAAGAUUGAAGAAGAAGUGUACGUUGCUCAACCACCUGGCUUUGAAGAUCCAAAACAUCCUGAUAUGGUGUACAAACUAAACAAAGCACUAUAUGGCCUCAAACAAGCUCCUCGCGCUUGGUAUGAUACGAUCAAAGACUUCCUGAAGAGCAAAGGCUUCAAACCUGGAUCCCUCGAUCCCACA
rnacentral:rRNA from 1 species